rnacentral:lncRNA from 1 species
AGAGAAUAUUGAAGAGGAAGAGGAAGAAGUUCGUGAGGCUAUGACCAGGGCUAGAGCUCACAGAUCUCAUGAGGCUGCUCUUGCCUCUGGCUCUAAUGAUGAUGAUCUCAUGGAUGUGGGACUGUCAGAACAAAAAACCAAUGAUGAUUCAGAUGCUUGCACCUCUGUAUCAUUCAGCAGAGGACGAGGUCGAGCAAGGGGUCAGGCAAGAGGUGGAAGAGGGCAAAUCUCAACAUCAAGAGGAGCCUCUCGAAGAGGAAGAGGAAACACUAGCCAAGAACAGUCUAAUAGCAGUAGAAGUUACAAGCCUAUGUCUACUCCUACCAAGAAUAUGUCUAUCCUAGAUGGUAUGUUCAGAAUAGUGUGUUGGUUUCACAUGCCCUCUAAAAUUGCUAUCACUUUGCAGAAUGCCAUAAUGAAGUUAAGAAGUUUAUGAUGCAACCUUUAUUUCCAGUAGAUAAAAUUCAACCAUCACAUGGAGCUUU